rnacentral:rRNA from 1 species
UACGUAGGGGGCUAGCGUUGUCCGGAGUUACUGGGCGUAAAGGGCGAGUAGGCGGCUUGUUAAGUCAGGUGUGAAAUUCCAAGGCUCAACCUUGGAACUGCGCUUGAAACUGGCAGGCUUGAGGACAGGAGAGGGAAGUAGAAUCCCCGGUGUAGCGGUGAAAUGCGUAGAUAUCGGGGGGAAUACCAGUGGCGAAGGCGGCUUCCUGGACUGUACCUGACGCUGAGGAGCGAAAGCUAGGGGAGCAAACAGGAUUAGAUACCCCUGUAGUCCCUGAGCGGG